rfam:Xenopus laevis strain J chromosome 6L, whole genome shotgun sequence.
AAAAAGGUUCUUACAGUGAAGUUGUGGCGUUCAACAGAACCAUCUUAUAGUUUCAAGAAAGAGUUGG